ACUCUUGACCUCGGAUCAGGUAGGGAUACCCGCUGAACUUAAGCAUAUCAAUAAGCGGAGGAA
rnacentral:rRNA from 1 species